CGGACGGGUGAGUAACGCGUGGGUAACCUACCCUGUACACACAGAUAACAUACCGAAAGGUAUGCUAAUACGGGAUAAUAUAUUUGAGAGGCAUCUCUUGAAUAUCAAAGGUGAGCCAGUACAGGAUGAACCCGCGUCUGAUUAGCUAGUUGGUAAGGUAACGGCUUACCAAGGCGACGAUCAGUAGCCGACCUGAGAGGGUGAUCGGCCACAUUGGAACUGAGACACGGUCCAA
rnacentral:rRNA from 1 species